AUUGAACGCUGGCGGCAGGCCUAACACAUGCAAGUCGAACGAGUGGCGGACGGGUGAGUAAUGUGUGGGAAACUGCCUGAUGGAGGGGGAUAACUAAUGGAAAAGGUCACUAAUAACGCCUACCAUCGGAUGUGCCCAGAUGGGAUGAGCUAGUAGGUGGGGUAAAGGCUCAUCUAGGCGACGAUCCCUAGCUGGUCUGAGAGGAUGAACAGCAACACUGGAACGGAGACACGGUCCAGACUCCUACGGGAGGCAGCAGUGGGGAAUAUUGCACAAUGGGCGCAAGCCUGAUGCAGCCAUGCCGCGUGUAUGAAGAAGGCCUUCGGGUUGUAAAGUACUUUCAGCGGGGAGGCGUUACCCGCAGAAGAAGCACCGGCUAACUCCGUGCCAGCAGCCGCGGUAAUAC
rnacentral:rRNA from 1 species